rnacentral:rRNA from 1 species
ACAAAAAGUACUAUCAAUUAAAUAAAAUGGUGAAAACAAAAGAAUAGCGAAGAAGAAGCAAAUGCGCUUCACGCUAAUUCCAAGUACCAACACAAAACAAAUUCAAUGUUUGGUGAAGCAACUUGCUUAGUGGCGGACGGGUGAGUAACGCGUGAACAAUCUGCCCCGUACAAAGGGAUAGCCUCGGGAAACCGGGAUUAAAACCAUAUAACACUUAACUGCCGCAUGGUAGUGAAGUCAAAUCGAUUAAGAGGUAUGGGAUGAGUUCGCGUCUGAUUAGCUAGUUGGUGAGGUAAGGGCUCACCAAGGCGACGAUCAGUAGCCGGCCUGAGAGGGUGAACGGCCACACUGGAACUGAGACACGGUCCAGGCUCCUACGGGAGGCAGCAGUGGGGAAUAUUGCACAAUGGAGGGAACUCUGAUGCAGCGACGCCGCGUGAGUGAAGAAGGUCUUCGGAUCGUAAAACUCUGUCCUUGGUGAAGAAAAGGACGGUAGCCAAGGAGGAAGCCCCGGCUAACUACGUG